CCUACGGGUGGCAGCAGUGAGGAAUAUUGGUCAAUGGACGAGAGUCUGAACCAGCCAAGUAGCGUGAAGGAUGACUGUCCUAUGGGUUGUAAACCUCUUUUAUAAAGGAAUAAAACGCGGCACGUGUGCCUUUUCGCAUGUACUCUAUGAAUAAGGAUCGGCUAACUCCGUGCCAGCAGCCGCGGUAAUACGGAGGAUCCGAGCGUUAUCCGGAUUUAUUGGGUUUAAAGGGAGCGUAGAUGGGUUGUUAAGUCAGUUGUGAAAGUUUGCGGCUCAACCGUAAAAUUGCAAUUGAUACUGGCAGUCUUGAGUACGGUUGAGGUAGGCGGAAUUCGUGGUGUAGCGGUGAAAUGCUUAGAUAUCACGAAGAACCCCGAUUGCGAAGGCAGCUUACUGAACUGUAACUGACAUUGAUGCUCGAAAGUGUGGGUAUCGAACAGGAUUAGAUACCCCUGUAGUC
rnacentral:rRNA from 1 species